CAAACCAUAUGCUUAACAUAAGAGCCUCUUUAUUCAAUUAAUUAAUAAAAAUGGCAUCAUAAAUAAGGCCUCACAGGCUUAGGUUAUCAGAUUAAUCAAUGGUGAUUAUCCCACAUAUUGGGGGAACACUGUUUCUUUAUUUAUUGACUGUAUCAUGCUGAUUACGAUGCCUCAAGGGGAUUUGACUUUGCAUACCGCACAGGGAAGAAGUCAGAGUGAAAGGGCGCUCAAACGCUGCUGCACACCAUGACCUGACCUUACUUAAGGGGAGGGUUAAUGCUGUACCUCGACGGUAGUUCAGAAGCACACCGACAUCUUCAUUCAAUCAAUCAAAACUAUUUAUAGCGCGCUUUUCAUCCAGGAAUUGUAACUCAAAAUUACUUUACAGAUUCAAAUCAUUACCACCAGCCAGGCCUCACCAGGACCAUCAAAGGUCACUCAUCUUAAUUGCCAGUUGCAUUGGGCCAUAUCGUACUGUCCAAUAUAGUACCAGUGUAUUUUUUUUUUUUUUUUUUUUUUUGUGGGGCCAAUCC